GCAUUCUUAGGUAUGCUGUGACAAACUCCUUGGCUGUGCAAUACAACUGCUGUGGCAAAGGAGAGAAACACAGUUUUUGCCAUCUUGAAGUUGCAGGAUACCAUUAUCAUCGUGUAAAUACCAGAGUGAACCAGUCACCGCCUCACCAGUCACCGGUCACCGGUCACCACAGGCUCCACGUCAUGUGCCCCAGUCUGCAGCCUGCUGCACCCACACCCUCGCUCAACCAUCCACCCACCAUACACAGUUACACACACUCACACACACAGGAAACUUAUACACAAGGAAAUCAGCCAUAUUUUUAUCUUUCUUAAGUAUGCUUUACAGUAAUAACACCAUUCCAUAGCAUAAGUACAGUACAAUCUUCCUACAUCUUGGCUAGCCUCACGUCGCGCUGCCUCCCCCGCUCGGCUCCCAAUGCCAGCUCGCUCACUUGCUCAUCCACACCACACCCGAACAUUCACAACCUUGUUCAUGUUACUGUAUUCAAACAAAGGAAUAGGAGAUUCAGAACACUAGUGACAAAUGUGAAUAGAAACAACAUAGAUGCGAGUAAAGAGAAUAUAGAAGGUAUAGAAAGAUAGAAAAUAUAUUAUACACUAAAUAAGAAUCGAGAUGAUAGAAAUAUGAAUGGAAAGAUGGAAAAG